rnacentral:rRNA from 1 species
GAUGAACGCUGGCGGCGUGCCUAAUACAUGCAAGUCGAGCGAACAGAUGAGGAGCUUGCUCCUCUGACGUUAGCGGCGGACGGGUGAGUAACACGUGGAUAACCUACCUAUAAGACUGGGAUAACUUCGGGAAACCGGAGCUAAUACCGGAUAAUAUAUUGAACCGCAUGGUUCAAUAGUGAAAGACGGUUUUGCUGUCACUUAUAGAUGGAUCCGCGCCGCAUUAGCUAGUUGGUAAGGUAACGGCUCACCAAGGCAACGAUGCGUAGCCGACCUGAGAGGGUGAUCGGCCACACUGGAACUGAGAGACGGUCCAGACUCCUACGGGAGGCAGCAGUAGGGAAUCUUCCGCAAUGGGCGAAAGCCUGACGGAGCAACGCCGCGUGAGUGAUGAAGGUCUUCGGAUCGUAAAACUCUGUUAUUAGGGAAGAACAAAUGUGUAAGUAACUAUGCACGUCUUGACGGUGCCUAAUCGGAGGGCCGCGGGUGGCUACGUG